UUUUUUUUUGAAUAAGGAAUUAUAUAUUUUUUUUUUAAUUAAUUACUUUUUGACAACAACAUUGCUAGACAAAUCCAAUGAUCCCUCAAUAGUUCAUAUUGACAUUGAAGAUCAUUAACAGAGACAAAAACCGCUAAUAAGUUCCUACCAUAUUCUUAACAGGAAGAUUGAUCAUUGGAAU